UACAGGGGGGGGCAAGCGUUGUUCGGAAUUACUGGGCGUAAAGGGUCUGUAGGUGGCCAACUAAGUCAGACGUGAAAUCCCUCAGCUUAACUGGGGAACUGCGUCUGAUACUGGAUGGCUUGAGUUCGGGAGAGGGAUGCGGAAUUCCAGGUGUAGCGGUGAAAUGCGUAGAUAUCUGGAGGAACACCGGUGGCGAAGGCGGCAUCCUGGACCGAGAUUGACGCUGAGGCGCGAAAGCCAGGGGAGCAAACAGG
rnacentral:rRNA from 1 species